rnacentral:lncRNA from 1 species
GCGGCCAGCUGCCACCGCCCGGUUAUCUUAUUGAUUCUUCUAAUCACCCAAGGUGGGUGGAUACGUUAAAGAGUAACCAGUCACUUAGGGAACCCGCGGCUGGGGACUGUUGCUGUCUCCAUGGCAAUGGCGACCUGGCCAGACCUGAGGUCCACUCGGGUCCUAGUCCUGCACUCUGGGGUUAGGGGAACCCAGAGCCAGGUGUAUGGGGACAUCAGCCCCCCAAUUUGAGGACAGGGCCGGAGCAGAAGGGGCUGGAGAGUUCUGAGAGCCGAGGAAGCAGGAAGGAGCUGUGAGAGACUGAGCUCUAACCUUGGCCAUCAAAGACAAGCUGUGCAGCUCUGGUUUUUUGAGGGCAGGACAUGGAGGGUCAGGCCCAGCUGGAGGCGCACCAAAGCCCAGAGAAAAUUCAGAACCACGUGAACUUGUUGGAUUUCAGCCCCUUGAAGCACAUGUUGCUAUUGCAGCUGCCUUGAUAACUGGGGGGACAGGAGGAGCACGGCUUUCCCAUCUUGUACGGGGACUCGCCAAUCCAGUUGCCCCUGGAAGAGAAAAGGACCCAGGGAGACAGAGGAGCAUUAGGUGAGUAACCUUCACACAGAUGUCCAGAUCUCAGCGCUGCCACUGACCAGCCCUGGGGACCUGGGGCAAGUCACAUCUGCAAGCCUUGGUUUCUUUUUUUUCUUUCCUUUAUUUAUUUAUUUAUUUAUUUUGUUUUGCUCUGUCACCCAUAGCUC